GAGUUUGAUCCUGGCUCAGGAUGAACGCUGGCGGCGUGCCUAACACAUGCAAGUCGAACGGACUUAACCUGAAACCUAGUGAUGGUUAAGUUAGUGGCGGACGGGUGAGUAACGCGUGGACAACCUGCCGCAUGCAGGGGGAUAACAGUUGGAAACAGCUGCUAAUACCGCAUAAGCGCACGGUACCGCAUGGUACAGUGUGAAAAGAUUUAUCGGCAUGCGAUGGAUCCGCGCCCGAUUAGCCAGUUGGCGGGGUAACGGCCCACCAAAGCGACGAUCGGUAGCCGGCCUGAGAGGGCGGACGGCCACAUUGGGACUGAGACACGGCCCAAACUCCUACGGGAGGCAGCAGUGGGGAAUAUUGCACAAUGGGGGGAACCCUGAUGCAGCGACGCCGCGUGGGUGAAGAAGUCAUUCGUGACGUAAAGCCCUAUCAGCAGGGAAGAAAAUGACGGUACCUGACUAAGAAGCCCCGGCUAACUACGUGCCAGCAGCCGCGGUAAUACGUAGGGGGCAAGCGUUAUCCGGAUUUACUGGGUGUAAAGGGAGCGUAGACGGCGGCGCAAGUCCGGAGUGAAAGCCCACGGCCCAACCGUGGGACUGCUCUGGAAACUGUGCGGCUUGAGUGCGGG
rnacentral:rRNA from 1 species